UACAUAGGUCCCAAGCGUUGUUCGGAUUCACUGGGCGUAAAGCGUGUGUAGGCGGCUUGGUAAGUCGGAUGUGAAAGCCCCGGGCUCAACUCGGGAAGUGCACUCGAUACUGCUUAGCUCGAGUACCGGAGAGGUUGGUGGAAUUCUCGGUGUAGAGGUGAAAUUCGUAGAUAUCGAGAGGAACACCGGUGGCGAAGGCGGCCAACUGGACGAGUACUGACGCUGAGACACGAAAGCGUGGGGAGCAAACAGG
rnacentral:rRNA from 1 species